rnacentral:rRNA from 1 species
AACGAACGCUGGCGGCAGGCUUAACACAUGCAAGUCGAACGCCCCGCAAGGGGAGUGGCAGACGGGUGAGUAACGCGUGGGAACAUACCCUUUCCUGCGGAAUAGCUCUGGGAAACUGGAAUUAAUACCGCAUACGCCCUACGGGGGAAAGAUUUAUCGGGGAAGGAUUGGCCCGCGUUGGAUUAGCUGGUUGGUGGGGUAAAGGCCUACCAAGGCGACGAUCCAUAGCUGGUCUGAGAGGAUGAUCAGCCACAUUGGGACUGAGACACGGCCCAAACUCCUACGGGAGGCAGCAGUGGGGAAUAUUGGACAAUGGGCGCAAGCCUGAUCCUGCCAUGCCGCGUGAGUGAUGAAGGCCUUAGGGUUGUAAAGCUCUUUCACCGAUGAAGAUAAUGACGGUAGUCGGAGAAGAAGCCCCGGCUAACUUUGUGCCAGCCGCCGCCGUAAUAC